GAUAACCUACCUAUAAGACUGGGAUAACUUCGGGAAACCGGAGCUAAUACCGGAUAAUAUUUUGAACCGCAUGGUUCAAAAGUGAAAGACGGUCUUGCUGUCACUUAUAGAUGGAUCCACGCUGCAUUAGCUAGUUGGUAAGGUAACGGCUUACCAAGGCAACGAUGCAUAGCCGACCUGAGAGGGUGAUCGGCCACACUGGAACUGAGACACGGUCCAG
rnacentral:rRNA from 1 species